rnacentral:rRNA from 1 species
UACAGAGGUCUCAAGCGUUGUUCGGAUUCAUUGGGCGUAAAGGGUGCGUAGGUGGCGCCAUAAGUCAGGUGUGAAGUCUCGGGGCUCAACCCCGAAACUGCAUUUGAUACUGUGGUGCUCGAGUACUGGAGAGGAGAUUGGAAUUUACGGUGUAGCAGUGAAAUGCGUAGAUAUCGUAAGGAAGACCAGUGGCGAAGGCGAAUCUCUGGACAGUUACUGACACUGAGGCACGAAGGCCAGGGGAGCAAACGGG